AAGAUCGACAUAUUGCGAUUCAGUUGAACGGACCAGCUGCCAGAUUGGUACCUAGAGUCUAUCUUGCCAGCAACGAUCCUUUAAAUAUCCUACCAUAAUAUUUAAUGUGCGCAGUAAUUCACUGGCUUGAAAAAAAUUUUUGUUGUGGAGACGGUAGGGCUGUUGCCAAUUUCAGAAAUUCAUUUCAGAUUUCAUACAUUGUCUUUUGUGAUGUUAUGGGUACAAAUGCCCUUUGAGUGUGUCCUGUAUUGUUUUGUCCAAGAGUAGAAUAUGAAUCGGACAUUGCGCCUACCGCCAAGCUCCAUGUGAAUCAUAAAUUCCAUUUACAAAGGUAAACCCAUUGAAGUCCGUGAUCUUCAUUUUCUUGUCCCGGAAUAUCUCGCUUGUACUGGGUUUUCAGGUGAAUUUCAUUGCUUAUUGUAUAAUUCUGUGAACUUGAUAUUCCCGUUACCAAACGUAUGUGGCAUUAGCAUUAGAUGCACUAGCAUAACGAUUGAAUGCUGUAACCUAACCUAUCUGGUUUAGUGUAUGUUGUUGAUAGUCUGAGCCAUUUGUUGUUGGCCUUUGCUGAGCUCACCGUAACUUUUCUGAUGCAGCGUGACGUGUCAAUCAUAGUGAAUCUCACUUCUUUGCUGCAUGAAAUGUAACAGAGCGAUGUCGCUAAUGUGGAGUGAGUCGCAUUAGAAAUUGAAUCAGCAUCUAUUAUCGGCUACUGAUUGACUACCGUUCGCCCAUUAUAUUUGAUCAGUUCUUUCAACAGUUGUACUACAUUAACCGAACCCUUAAGUAAUUUUUCUGAUUUUUCUUUUUUUAUACUGGGCUUUUUUUUCCGUUCGUCUUCCCGACACCCGGCGUAUUAUCUUGACAUCGAAAAUUGUGAAAUGUUCGUAAUUAAAAUGUGCAGACUGACAUCAAAUGGUGUAAAAAGAUGGAUAUUAAAUAGGAAUAGGGUUAUGACCUGUGAUACCUUUUGGAUCAUAUGUUUUUCAGCAAAAGGGUUGUUUAGUUCAAGUUUAGUUUUUGCUCAAUCUUAAUUCAACUUAUUCAAGGAUGAUAGUGGGUUAUUCUUUCCUCUGUCGUUUCGGAUGACAUCACUUCAGUUCAGUUAUUUCGAUCCAACUCAUCACCUAAGCGAUUGCGAAGUUGUUGUCUAGAAAUAAUUUUUUCGCCGAGAAAAGCCAAAAGGGAAAGGCUCAUUCCAACCAAUAGAACGACAAAUGCACCGGUCACAUUUUUCAGGGAAAGGGGCGAAAGUUCCUUUUUCUUUCCACUUGGGGGUUUUCCGUUGCAUUGAGGCGGCAUUGGACGGAACCAAGUGUCCCAGAAGUUGACCAGGUCAUUUUCUUGCAGAUUUAAUAUUCUAUUUCAUUGGAUCAUCGAAUGAAACCAAAAUUCCAACAAUUAACAAAAUCUAAUCUCAUCUAUUGAAGCUAGCUGUACCAGCUUACCCUUGCUGCAUGCUUUGCGUAUAGGGACUGUUUUUCUGUAGAACAAGCGUCGGCAUGAUGGCUAUGAAUUCUUCUUUUGCUAUUUGUAAGUUGCACUUUCCAGUCUUUUUAAAAUCAUUCCUGAUCGCAUCUUUGAGGUAAACAUUGGCCUAGUUUAAUUAAUCAAUUUAAAAAGAUUAACAAUUCUUUAAAUCUUGUAAAGAAAAAGAACAGCAAACUGACUAUAUUCUACCUCGAGAAGCACGAUUUUAGAUUCCGGUUUGAUAGGUCGGAUGCAGUCAGACGCUGUUGCGCAUCGAGAGUUCGGGAAAGAGUCGAUUUUUUUCCUUAAAUUCCCGAACAGGCCCGUGAAAUUGUUGGUCUGUUGCACGUUACAAUUAAGCAAGUUCCUUAUGUCGUAAAGUUCAUUUGAGUUUUUUUUUUUUUUUACUUGCCGAUAGUAAAGUAUUCAUAGAUCCGGAUUCCCUGACAAGUAAAUUGAUGUCGCCAUUGUCUAUUACGUCGUAGACUGAAUCGAUUAGAGGAUGAUUGAUCGGCGUCAUGACGUAUGUGAAGAGAGUCGACGUGUAGGCCUGGACGAAGACGAAAGCGGCCAGGGUCCAAACGCCAGCGACUAGUCGAUAGGGUAAUAUUUUCGACCUACAAGAGCCACCUAAUCAAUAAUGAAGACGUUUUGGUUUAUUGCUUAUUGAGCCAUUUAAUAUCCUCAUUGUAAACCUUGUGAAAGCAAAUUGCCGAAUACGUAAAGAUACUGUUGUCUGGUUUCCCCUCUGGCCGUCGUUAGAUUGGAGCUUGGUCUAACUAAAGUUUCAAUUGCCGAUCGAUAUUGCAAGUAGCGCUGGAUUAAAUUGAAAACUGCGAUGACGCAGACGAUCGAUAUUCCUAGUCCCAACCAAACCUGGUGAUCGAAUAGUAUAGAUGCUGUUAAAUACGAAAUUUUACAGUCAAGUUAUUUCAAUUUUCCAACCGGCCAUUGAAAUGGUUUGACGACGGCGUUGAUGUUGGCCGAUUCUUCAGGGACGGGAAUGAGGAAAGCGAAAUAAUCGUAAAUCCACGGCAAUGUGAAAUCUACGACUGAAUUGUACUGGAAGCUCGCGCUCGUAUCGUGGACCAACAAAUCGGAUUGCUGUGAAAGAGAAUGGAACGAACUUAACUUGAUUCCACAAAUAACUAAAAAGUCCUGGUCCUUUUUCUGAUGGCUCAGGUUUGUUUUCCGUCACUCGAACCAUUUCGUACCUGUAUGGAAAAUGAAAUAAGAAUUCGAGAAGCGCUCCUCCUUUGAGUGAUCCAACUAGCCCCUUAGGGUUUCCACUCCAACGUGUCUAUACCGCAUCCAUUUAAUGCCAGAUGACGCGGAUGUGUUGGCCGUUGAGCGUGUUUGGCAUCGAUAAGGAACUGGGAAAAGAAAUGAAGAACCAAAUGGGAAAUAUUACGAAAGCAGGAAUGAAGUCCAGUUUCCUUAUGUGCUAUCUGUCCUAAUUUCGGCUAUUGUUGACGCAUUUCUGGAUGUGAACUGAAAAGAUUUCUGGUUUCCAAUUCACCACUUUUGGGGCGGAUUUGGGGAAGUGCGUAAGCUGAUUCUUCACAUGGACCAUCCACAUGUAUACCAACAUUUGGGCAUGUCACCACCGAGAGGGUUUCUUCUACACGGUCCGCCGGGUUGCGGUAAAACGUUGUUGGCUAAUGCCAACGGGAGAUGGGCCGAAGGAUUGUUGCCCAGCUUCUCACCUGCAUGGAUGAUUGCAGAUCCCGGUUUUGGUGAUUGGUGCUACCAACAGACCUGGCGCCUUAGAUCCUGCCUUAAGAAGAGCUGGCCGCUUCUACAGAGAAAUAUCACUGGGAAUACCAGAACUCGUCACAAGAGAGAAGAUUCUCAAUGUGGUCUGCAAGAACCUCAGCUAAGCUUCGGAUAUGAUGGAAGUUCUCGGUUUUAAACAUAUUGGAAUAUGUCGGAGCUGAUAUGUACUUGUCUUGACUUCCGAUUCAUGCAUGAGGCAUGAUAGCAGUGAAUAGGUAAAAUAAUGAUUUGACAUUCUGUUUUUCACUUCUCCCCAUAAGUUGACUCUAUCCUUAUUUUAGAACUUUUGGGCUGAUAAUUAAUUGUUCAGUUGGUAAUUUCAGAAAAUUGAGCAGGAUUUUGUAAAAUUCUUUUGUUAAAAAAAAUCGUGGGUUUUAAGGCAACGUUGCUCUUAUUUUACAUUGCAGAUUUGACAACACCUUGAUGACCAGCUGUGACGUCGUCGAGCUAGACUGCU
rnacentral:lncRNA from 1 species